rnacentral:rRNA from 1 species
GAUGAACGCUGGCGGCAGGCUUAACACAUGCAAGUCGAGCGCCCCGCAAGGGGAGCGGCAGACGGGUGAGUAACGCGUGGGAAUCUACCGUGCCCUACGGAAUAGCUCCGGGAAACUGGAAUUAAUACCGUAUACGCCCUACGGGGGAAAGAUUUAUCUGGGUAUGAUGAGCCCGCGUUGGAUUAGCUAGUUGGUGGGGUAAAGGCCUACCAAGGCGACGAUCCAUAGCUGGUCUGAGAGGAUGAUCAGCCACAUUGGGACUGAGACACGGCCCAAACUCCUACGGGAGGCAGCAGUGGGGAAUAUUGGACAAUGGGCGCAAGCCUGAUCCAGCCAUGCCGCGUGAGUGAUGAAGGUCUUAGGAUUGUAAAGCUCUUUCACCGAUGAAGAUAAUGACGGUAGUCGGAGAAGAAGCCCCGGCUAACUUCGUGCCAGCAGCCGCGGUAA